rnacentral:rRNA from 1 species
UUAUUGGGCGUAAAGCGCGCGCAGGCGGUUUCUUAAGUCUGAUGUGAAAGCCCCCGGCUCAACCGGGGAGGGUCAUUGGAAACUGGGAAACUUGAGUGCAGAAGAGGAAAGUGGAAUUCCAAGUGUAGCGGUGAAAUGCGUAGAGAUUUGGAGGAACACCAGUGGCGAAGGCGACUUUCUGGUCUGUAACUGACGCUGAGGCGCGAAAGCGUGGGGAGCAAACAGGAUUAGAUACCCUGGUAGUCCACGCUGUAAACGAUGAGUGCUAAGUGUUAGAGGGUUUCCGCCCUUUAGUGCUGAAGUUAACGCAUUAAGCACUCCGCCUGGGGAGUACGGUCGCAAGACUGAAACUCAAAGGAAUUGACGGGGGCCCGCACAAGUGGUGGAGCAUGUGGUUUAAUUCGAAGCAACGCGAAGAACCUUACCAGGUCUUGACAUCCUCUGACAACCCUAGAGAUAGGGCUUUCCCUUCGGGGACAGAGUGACAGGUGGUGCAUGGUUGUCGUCAGCUCGUGUCGUGAGAUGUUGGGUUAAGUCCCGCAACGAGCGCAACCCUUGAUCUUAGUUGCCAGCAUUCAGUUGGGCACUCUAAGGUGACUGCCGGUGACAAACCGGAGGAAGGUGGGGAUGACGUCAAAUCAUCAUGCCCCUUAUGACCUGGGCUACACACGUGCUACAAUGGAUAGUACAAAGGGUUGCAAGACCGCGAGGUGGAGCUAAUCCCAUAAAACUAUUCUCAGUUCGGAUUGUAGGCUGCAACUCGCCUACAUGAAGCCGGAAUCACUAGUAAUCGCGGAUCA